CCUGCGCGAAACCGGCUUCUCGGCGCCAUUUUGUCCGGGCAGCAUUGGCCGCAGCGCUAUCGCGUUUUCUGUUUCUGGGGUGCACGGAGCGGCGUGCCUGGGUUUUUUUUCCCCUCUUUUUGCGAGAGACUCAUUUUAGCGUGCUACUCAUCCACUGUUCACCCCGGGACAGCACCCAGCGGAGGUCGAAGGGAGUCGAAGAGCCGUCUGAAAGUUGUGUGAAGAUAACAAUUCACAUCAGUGACACAAACUCCAACAUAUUACGGAGGAUAAGAUCGACUUUGUGGAAGAAUUAAGCAAAGUUUACAGUAAUAAAAGACUUGGAACUGCCAUGUGUAUUAAAAAUGCUGUCUCCGUUCAACUGGGCACUGGUAAUGACUCACACCUGUAAUCCUAGCUACUCAAGAAGCUGAAAUCUGGGCUGGGAAGGUGGCUCAGAGGUAGGAAUGCCUGAGUUGUCCUUGAACGGAGAUCCUUCUAGUUUCUGCCUCCUAAUAGCUAGGAUUACAGGUCUCAGUGAACUAUAGAAAUAAAACAGAUGGAUAUUAUCAGAUAAGUGCUUUUAUUAUCUAAAUUCAUUUGAUAAUGUGGAAUCUUUAAAAACAAAACUUAAUUUUUUAAAAUAUUUUUUUCAGGUGCCAGUUCAAGAUAACUGCCAGUAACAAGGUACUUGAUUAUAAAAUAAAUGUAUUCGGGCUGGGAAGGUGGCUCAGUGGUAGAGCGCUUGCCUUGCAUGCAUGAGGCCCUGAGUUCGAUUCCUCAGCACCACAUAAGCAAAAAAAAAGAAAAAAAAAUAAAUGUAUUCAUGUUGAAGUAAAAAUGUACUUUGCUGGGUUUUUUUCUUGUAACUGGUUUUCCUCAGUAGUGGUUGCUCCUGUGUAUCCUGUCAUGGUUUUGAUUCUUUGGUGGUCCCGAUGUUUGAAUUCGA